CCUACGGGAGGCAGCAGUGGGGAAUUUUGCGCAAUGCUCGUAAGAGUGACGCAGCGACGCCGCGUGAAUGACGAAGGCCUUCGGGUCGUAAAGUUCUUUCGACAGGGAAGAAAAUGCCUAUAAGUAACUGUGUAUGUAUUGACGGUACCUGUAUAAGCAGCCCCGGCUAACUCCGUGCCAGCAGCCGCGGUAAUACGGAGGGGGCGAGCGUUGGUCGGAGGGACUGGGCGUAAAGAGCACGUAGGCGGUGUUGUAAGUCAUUAGUCAAAGACUAGAGCUCAACUUUAGUAAGGCUAGUGAUACUGUAAUACUAGAGUAUCAGAGAGGAUUGCGGAAUUCCUGGUGUAGCGGUGAAAUGCGUAGAUAUCAGGAGGAAUACCGUUAGCGAAGGCGGCAAUCUGGCUGGAAACUGACGCUGAGGUGCGAAAGCGUGGGUAGCAAACAGGAUUAGAUACCCCAGUAGUC
rnacentral:rRNA from 1 species